rnacentral:lncRNA from 1 species
AUUUCUCUGUCAGGCUUAUGGCGAGGCAUACAAGGGGCGCUCGCCACCCAGAAAUGAUGCACGUGGGGGACUUCGACAUCACAGGCCACAUCCGUCCCGGGAAUGGCCUCGCCCUUCAGAGAGCAGUGUCACCUCCACAAGAUGCCGGCUGCUUAUGCGGAGGCUGUGGCACGAGGAGAUGGCAGGAGACUCACCGUCAACGUCGGGAUGAGCAGAUUCUAGAACCGCUCCCACUCCGUGCCCAGCGUUGCUCUACUCUGGGCAGCGAGAGACAGCGACACCACUUUGUCUGAGCCAUUUGGAUCGGGUGGCCUGUGGCUUGCGGCCAAAUACGUCCUCAGGGAGACAAGGCUCACGUGCCCAGGCGACCCAGAACCCAGACUCAGGAGACCUGAGUUGAUUCCAGUCCCAGCUCCCCCGGAAAUUUAACCCGAUGUCACUCUCUUUGCCUGCACAGCGUGGAGCGAGAAAAUGGAUCCACUUUGCGGCGCAGUUAACUCUAUGGGAAACAACGAUAAUUGCUCUGGAACCGAACACCAGCCUCCCCCUGCGCUCACUGAGAACGAGGCAGAUUCUCCCACUCGCCUAUAAUGUGGCUCAGAACACAAAUGCCUUUUCUGGUCCGUGCUGGGAAUCAUUCCUGAAACUCAUCUGGUACAGAAGCAAAGGCCGCUUCCUGGGUCGAGGGGUCUCCUUUGGGGGUGAAUCAACGUCCUCAAAACACGCAGAAAACCCCGUUUGUCUGAACAAGGACCACAGAGUCUGGUGA